rnacentral:rRNA from 1 species
UAGUCAACAUGCCCAGGGGACGUGGAUAACCUCGGGAAACUGAGGAUAAACCGCGAUAGGUCACUACUUCUGGAAUGGGUAAUGACCCAAACCUAUAUGGCCCCUGGAUUGGACUGCGGCCGAUCAGGCUGUUGGUGAGGUAAUGGCCCACCAAACCUGUAACCGGUACGGGCUCUGAGAGGAGGAGCCCGGAGAUGGGCACUGAGACAAGGGCCCAGGCCCUAUGGGGCGCAGCAGGCGCGAAACCUCUGCAAUAGGCGAAAGCUUGACAGGGUUACUCUGAGUGAUUUCCGUUAAGGAGAUCUUUUGGCACCUCUAAAAAUGGUGCAGAAUAAGGGGUGGGCAAGUCUGGUGUCAGCCGCCGCGGUAAUACCAGCACCCCGAGUGGUCGGGACGUUUAUUGGGCCUAAAGCAUCCGUAGCCGGUUCUACAAGUCUUCCGUUAAAUCCACCUGCUCAACAGAUGGGCUGCGGAAGAUACUAUGGAGCUAGGAGGCGGGAGAGGCAAGCGGUACUCGAUGGGUAGGGGUAAAAUCCGUUGAUCCAUUGAAGACCACCAGUGGCGAAGGCGGCUUGCCAGAACGCGCUCGACGGUGAGGGAUGAAAGCUGGGGGAGCAAACCGGAUUAGAUACCCGGGUAGUCCCAGCUGUAAACGAUGCAGACUCGGUGAUGAGUUGGCUUUAUGCCAACUCAGUGCCGCAGGGAAGCCGUUAAGUUUGCCGCCUGGGGAGUACGGUCGCAAGACUGAAACUUAAAGG